rnacentral:snRNA from 1 species
AGCUUUGCACAGUGGCAGUAUCAUGGCCAAUGAGGUUUAACCGAGGCACGAUUAUGCUAAUUAAAAUUUAUAAAUGAAUUAUACACUGAGUAACUGGAAAAUACUAUAAAUACUGAUACUAUACACUAGGAAGACAUUCAAUGUAU